rnacentral:lncRNA from 1 species
CCACAACUCCUUUACGGGCUCCGUAGCAAGAAAUGAUGUAUUCUGUUAUAGCGAGUCCUUCGCGUAAAUUGCUUUGAAUAGGUAAAUCAAUCAUUUUUCGUUGAGGAUCUGACAUUAAUCCUCUCAUACCUACCAAUUGAUGUACUUGAGAUGCAUUUCCUCUAGCUCCGGAGAAAGACAUUAUAUGAACUGGAUUAAAAGCGUCAGUCAUCCUAAAAUUAGGAUUCAUUUCUUGUCGCAAAUAUUCACUUGUAGCAUACUAUAUUUCAAUGGAUUGACGUAAUUUUUCUACCGCGUGUACAUUCUCAUAAUGAUGGUACGUCGAAGAAAAAGUACUAUAUUUCAAUGGAUUGACGUAAUUUUUCUACCGCGUUUACAUUCCCAUAAUGAUGGUGUUUUUCCAAAAUCAAAAUUUGUUGUUCAACAUCUUGAACUAGCCAUCCCUUU